UUUUGCCGAAACUUCGUUAUCUUCCUCUUUCCCCGGGCGGUGGUCGCCGUUGCCCCUCGCUCCACACUGAGGAAGCCGUCUCACGUUGUUGCUGUGCCCAGGUGACAAACUGCCCCGCGGGGAGCGGGCACCUUCUGCUCGAGGAGGGUCUCGGCCCCUCUGAAGCGGCUGCUCCCGGGACUGAUCAGGUUUGACGACCAGUGACUGUGAAGUUGUUCCCAGCAUUACUGGGCAAGGCUCGUUCCUGACCCCGAUCCACAUGACAAGUGGAAGAUUCUAACAGCAGGCAGAGGCUCAAUGUUCCUUUGCCCAGCAAGUUGGCCUUGGCCACUCUGCACAAGGUUUUGAGUCUCCUGCUGAGAUGGGAGUGGUUCACUGCACUGUGCUGUUACUGUAUGGGAUUCUCAUCUCAGUCCAGGGUAAUGAACACAUCUUGUUUGAU